AGUUGUAGAAUCACUGGUGAAUAAGGGGUGGGCAAGUUCUGGUGUCAGCCGCCGCGGUAGAACCAGCACCUCGAGUGGUCAGGAGGUUUAUUGGGCCUAAAGCAUCCGUAGCCGGUUGCAUAAGUUUUCGGUUAAAUCUAUGCGCUUAACGUAUAGGCCGCCGAAAAUACUGUGCAGCUAGGGAGUGGGAGAGGUACACGGUACUCGAUAGGAAGGGGUAAAAUCCUUUGAUCUAUUGAUGACCACCUGUGGCGAAGGCGGUGUACCAGAACACGUUCGACGGUGAGGGAUGAAAGCUGGGGGAGCAAACCGGAUUAGAUACCCGGGUAGUCCCAGCUGUAAACGAUGCAGACUCGGUGAUGCAUUGGCUUGUGGCCAAUGCAGUGCCGCAGGGAAGCCGUUAAGUCUGCCGCCUGGGAAGUACGUACGCAAGUAUGAAACUUAAAGGAAUUGGCGGGGGAGCACCACAAGGGGUGAAGCCUGCGGUUCAAUUGGAGUCAACGCCAGAAAUCUUACCUGGGGAGACAGCAGAAUGAAGGUCAAGCUGAAGACUUUACCAGACACGCUGAGAGGUGGUGCAUGGCCGUCGCCAGCUCGUGCCGUGAGAUGUCCUGUUAAGUCAGGUAACGAGCGAGACCCCUGCGUCUAGUUGCUACCAUUACUCUCUGGAGCAGUGGAGCGAAUUAGACGGACCGCCACAGUUAAUGUGGAGGAAGGAAGGGGCCACGGCAGGUCAGUAUGCCCCGAAACCCUAGGGCUACACGCGGGCUGCAAUGGUAUUGACAAUGUGUUCCGAAUCCGAAAGGAGGAGGCAAUCAUCAAACAAUAUCUCAGUUAUGACUGAGGGU
rnacentral:rRNA from 1 species